rnacentral:lncRNA from 1 species
UCCAUUUGUAAAUACAACUCACUCAAUUGUUUUGUGGUUUCAAUGGUCACUUUUGCCAAAGCUUUUCAUAAACAUUAGCUAUUAGGUUUGAGUUAUCCUAGAGGUUGAUAUAAUACUCACCUAUAUCCUUAGUGAUGGACUAUAAGACUUCCAUGCUUAUUAUAGGGUUAACCCCUCACUAGCAUGUUGAAGCUCUCCUCACAUGGUGGAUUUGUGGUUU